ensembl:snRNA U6 U6 spliceosomal RNA
GUGCUCGCUUCGGUAGCACAUAUAUUAAAAUUGGAAUGAUACAGAGAUGAUUAAUAAGAUCCCUGCACAAGGAUGACUUGCAAAUUUGUGAAGCAUUCCAUAUUUUU